AGUGAACGCUGGCGGCGUGCCUAAUACAUGCAAGUCGAACGGAAUUUAAAAGAGCUUGCUCUUUUAAAUUUAGUGGCGCACGGGUGAGUAAUAUAUAGCUAAUCUGCCCCUUGCUGGAGGACAACAGUUAGAAAUGACUGCUAAUACUCCAUACUCCUUUUUACCAUAAGAUAAAUCGGGAAAGAAUUUCGGCAAGGGAUGAGACUAUAUCGUAUCAGCUAGUCGGUGGGGUAACGGCCUACCGAGGCUAUGACGCGUAACUGGUCUGAGAGGAUGAUCAGUCACAUUGGAACUGAGACACGGUCCAAACUCCUACGGGAGGCAGCAGUAGGGAAUAUUGCGCAAUGGGGGAAACCCUGACGCAGCAACGCCGCGUGGAGGAUGACACUUUUCGGAGCGUAAACUCCUUUGUAGGGAAAGGAUAAAGACGGUACCUACGA
rnacentral:rRNA from 1 species